AGAGUUUGAUCAUGGCUCAGAUUGAACGCUGGCGGCAGGCCUAACACAUGCAAGUCGAACGGUAACAGGAAGCAGCUUGCUGCUUCGCUGACGAGUGGCGGACGGGUGAGUAAUGUCUGGGAAGCUGCCUGAUGGAGGGGGAUAACUACUGGAAACGGUAGCUAAUACCGCAUAAUGUCGCAAGACCAAAGAGGGGGACCUUCGGGCCUCUUGCCAUCGGAUGUGCCCAGAUGGGAUUAGCUUGUUGGUGGGGUAACGGCUCACCAAGGCGACGAUCCCUAGCUGGUCUGAGAGGAUGACCAGCCACACUGGAACUGAGACACGGUCCAGACUCCUACGGGAGGCAGCAGUGGGGAAUAUUGCACAAUGGGCGCAAGCCUGAUGCAGCCAUGCCGCGUGUAUGAAGAAGGCCUUCGGGUUGUAAAGUACUUUCAGCGGGGAGGAAGGGAGUAAAGUUAAUACCUUUGCUCAUUGACGUUACCCGCAGAAGAAGCACCGGCUAACUCCGUGCCAGCAGCCGCGGUAAUACGGAGGGUGCAAGCGUUAAUCGGAAUUACUGGGCGUAAAGCGCACGCAGGCGGUUUGUUAAGUCAGAUGUGAAAUCCCCGGGCUCAACCUGGGAACUGCAUCUGAUACUGGCAAGCUUGAGUCUCGUAGAGGGGGGUAGAAUUCCAGGUGUAGCGGUGAAAUGCGUAGAGAUCUGGAGGAAUACCGGUGGCGAAGGCGGCCCCCUGGACGAAGACUGACGCUCAGGUGCGAAAGCGUGGGGAGCAAACAGGAUUAGAUACCCUGGUAGUCCACGCCGUAAACGAUGUCGACUUGGAGGUUGUGCCCUUGAGGCGUGGCUUCCGGAGCUAACGCGUUAAGUCGACCGCCUGGGGAGUACGGCCGCAAGGUUAAAACUCAAAUGAAUUGACGGGGGCCCGCACAAGCGGUGGAGCAUGUGGUUUAAUUCGAUGCAACGCGAAGAACCUUACCUGGUCUUGACAUCCACGGAAGUUUUCAGAGAUGAGAAUGUGCCUUCGGGAACCGUGAGACAGGUGCUGCAUGGCUGUCGUCAGCUCGUGUUGUGAAAUGUUGGGUUAAGUCCCGCAACGAGCGCAACCCUUAUCCUUUGUUGCCAGCGGUCCGGCCGGGAACUCAAAGGAGACUGCCAGUGAUAAACUGGAGGAAGGUGGGGAUGACGUCAAGUCAUCAUGGCCCUUACGACCAGGGCUACACACGUGCUACAAUGGCGCAUACAAAGAGAAGCGACCUCGCGAGAGCAAGCGGACCUCAUAAAGUGCGUCGUAGUCCGGAUUGGAGUCUGCAACUCGACUCCAUGAAGUCGGAAUCGCUAGUAAUCGUGGAUCAGAAUGCCACGGUGAAUACGUUCCCGGGCCUUGUACACACCGCCCGUCACACCAUGGGAGUGGGUUGCAAAAGAAGUAGGUAGCCUAACCUUCGGGAGGGCGCUUACCACUUUGUGAUUCAUGACUGGGGUGAAGUCGGAACAAGGUAACCGUAGGGGAACCUGCGGUUG
rnacentral:rRNA from 1 species